CCAAAGGCUCUUUUCAGAGCCACCUAUCUUCUCAAGAGAGAGCGGG
rfam:Dipodomys ordii contig_61514, whole genome shotgun sequence.